rnacentral:rRNA from 1 species
CCUUCGGGUUGUAAAGCACUUUCAGUGGGGAAGAAAUUCUCAAGGGUAAUAUCUUUGAGCGUUGACGUUACCUACAGAAGAAGCACUGGCUAACUCUGUGCCAGCAGCCGCGGUAAUACAGAGAGUGCAAGCGUUAAUCGGAAUCACUGGGCGUAAAGGGCGCGUAGGUGGAUAUUUAAGUCGGAUGUGAAAGCCCUGGGCUUAACCUGGGAAUUGCACCCGAUACUGGAUAUCUCGAGUAUGGUAGAGGGAAGUGGAAUUUCCGGUGUAGCGGUGAAAUGCGUAGAUAUCGGAAAGAACACCAGUGGCGAAGGCGGCUUUCUGGACCAAUACUGACACUGAGGCGCGAAAGCGUGGGGAGCAAACAGGAUUAGAGACCCUGGUAGUCCACGCCGUCAACGAUGAGAACUAGCU